AUCUAUGGCAAUAUCAGUCUGAAAGUCAGACUCGGGCCUGGUUAGCACUUGUAUGGGAGACCUACUAGGAAGCUCAGGUGCUGUAACGG